GGUGGGUAGCCUUAACCGGAUGUGUUUUAACAGGGAAGCCCGAAGGCUGUUCCCGACCCUGUCAGGGGAGAUGCCAACCAUCUCUCCUUUAAUCGAACACAACGUAGUAGAUGUUAAAUUUAUUUCAUAUAACAGAAAUUAAUUGUUACAUUUUUCGAUGUGGGAUGUACCAAAAUAGAACCUUACUUCUCCGAGCUCUCCGCUCCCAUUUCCCCUCUCCUGUAAUUCUCUAAUCCCGAACGAAAAUGGCUACAGAUCGAAACGGUGAGCUAUUAACUAAGAGAGGAAGUUCCGAUAACGACGAGACCAGCGAAGGAAGAGGAGAAGAAGAGAACGGUUCUAGGUCAAAGAGAAAUUCCGACAAGGAUCGUGAAAAUUUGAGCUCCGAUUGACGAAAACGCAGGAAAUCAGUUCGGAUUCCGAUGAUAAGCAUGACAAGAAACGUGGAAUGAGUUCAAGAAGAAGGCGCACAUCCCGUAAACGACACAGUAGUAGCGAGAAGGAUUCUGAUUCCGAGGAUACCGAAUCUGAUAGCUUGAGUAUGAUUCGGAGAGGAGGAGGAGGAGGAGGAAGAGAAACGGAGGAAGGAGAAGAAGGAACGAGGAAAGAAAGGAGCAGUGACGAAUUCAUGCGGAAAGUACAACAUUAUCAAAGAAACUGAUACCUGAUUCAUAGAGGACCUUUACACGGCCACUUUUCCAUCCAAAAAGUAAGGUUCUGAGUGAUUAUUGUAUGCAGCUACCACGUUCUUGUUUGAGAAGUUAGAAUGCUAGAUGGAACAUUACUAUGAUCAAUAUCUCUUGUAGUGCGAACUUUAUACAGCAUUUUUAAUGUGUUUGAUGAUGAAGAACAGAGGAGGUACUUUCUACUGUUCUUCCUCUUUCUUUACCUGCUGUUCAUUUUGAUGAUUAAAUGCAUCUCUUUCUGGGAAUUUUGCUCAUCUGGUUGUUGAACAUGGAUGUUUGAUGAUGGAUAGAAGAAAUUCUUUAUUCAAUUUUCAAAAGUAUAUCAAAUAGCUGUUCAACAGACUAGCAAACGAACUAUUACUAAAAAUCAUUAUCCAAUUCACUCUACUUUUCAGGCAAGAACUACUCGUAGAGCGAACAAGCUCGACUCGGUGAGGAGAUGGCUUACCAGUAUAAGCUCGGAAAGUUUGAGGUAGGCAUAAAUGUGAACGAAGUUUUCCUGCAGUUUAAUUUGAUGCAAUCUCGGGCUAGUUCCUCGAGUUUUUGCUACAUCUUAAUUCAGGCUGCAGCUGCCAUCCAGCAAAGAUUGGACCCAGAUAUCGCCCUGUGACAGAAGAGUCUGUGUUUUACAGGAUUAUCUCGUGUUUAGUACUGCAUGGUUGAGUGGAACCAUGAAGUUCCCAAAUGUUGUCUUUUGGGUUCCAAUAAAGGGAAGCUCUCCAAUCCCAGGCUAGUUCCUCAAAUUUUUGUUGCAUCUUAUUACAGGCGGCAGCAGCCAUCCAACGAAGAUGGGACCGAGAUGUGAUAGAAGAGUGUAUUUUGCGGUUUGGUACUGCAUCGUUCCACUCUGAAGAAGUUUUUGAACGUUUCUAAAUGUUGUCUUUGGAUUCCAUGGAUUCCAAAGGGAAGCUCUCCAAUCCGAUCAUUUCUGUCGACCUUCGUGGAUAAGGAAUUAACUCAAUGAAAGCUCUCAUACCAAAUGAUAAGGAAUCACUAUAAGGGAAGUAAGAUUCCGAUUAUCUUGUUGAUCGAAUAUUUCAAAUCUCAAGACAAGAACAUUUGUUUGAGAUUUGAAUCACUUCACAACCAAGAUCAAUGAUAUCUAGUUUGAAUAAUUCUAUAUGUAACCUAAACUAUAGAAUUACAAUGAAACUUAGUCAUUGACUAAAAAAAAAUAUACAAAUGUUCAUUUUACGCA